AUUGAACGCUGGCGGCAUGCUUUACACAUGCAAGUCGAACGGUAACAGCACUUCGGUGGCUGACGAGUGGCGCACGGGUGGGUAAUACACCGGAACGUGCCUAGCAGUGGGGGAUAACUACUCGUAAGAGUAGCUAAUACCGCAUGAGAUCUAAGCAUGAAAGCAGGGGACCUUCGGGCCUUGCGCUACUAGAGCGGGUGAUGGCGGAGGAGGUAGUUGGUGGGAUAAACGCUUACCAAGCCGGCGAUCGGGAGCUGGUGUGAGAGGACGACCAGCCACACGGGGAGUGAGCCACGGCCCAGACUCCUGCGGGAGGCAGCAGUGGGGAAUGUUAGGCAAUGGGCGGAAGCCUGGUACAGUAAUGCCGCGUGCAGGAUGAAGGCCUUCGGGUUGUAAAGUGCUUUUGUACGGAACGAAAAGCCUUCGUCUAAGACGGGGGGGUCAUGACGGUACCGGAAGAAUAAGCACCGGCUAACUACGUG
rnacentral:rRNA from 1 species